UUGCUCUUCAACGAGGAAUGCCUAGUAAGCGUACGUCAUCAGCAUGCGUUGAUUACGUCCCUGCCCUUUGUACACACCGCCCGUCGCUACUACCGAUUGAAUGGCUUAGUGAGGCCUUCGGACUGGCUCAGGGAGGUCGGCAACGACCACCCAGAGCCGGAAAGUUCGUCAAACUACGUCAUUUAGAGGAAGUAAAAGUCGUAACAAGGUUUCCGUAGGUGAACCUGCGGAAGGAUCAUUACCGAGUUGAUUCGAGCUCCGGCUCGACUCUCCCACCCUUUGUGUACCUACCUCUGUUGCUUUGGCGGGCCCGCGGUCGGCCUCGUGCCGUCCAGCACCCGCCAGAGGACUACAAAACUCCAGUCAGUAAACGUCUCAGUCUGAAAAACAAGUUAAUAAACUAAAACUUUCAACAACGGAUCUCUUGGUUCUGGCAUCGAUGAAGAACGCAGCGAAAUGCGAUAAGUAAUGUGAAUUGCAGAAUUCAGUGAAUCAUCGAAUCUUUGAACGCACAUUGCGCCCCUUGGUAUUCCGGGGGGCAUGCCUGUUCGAGCGUCAUUUCAACCCUCAAGCUCUGCUUGGUAUUGGGCUCCGUCCUCAGGGACGCGCCUCAAAGACCUCGGCGGUGGCGUCUUGCCUCAAGCGUAGUAGAAAACACCUCGCUUUGGAGCGCACGGCGCCGCCCGCCGGACGAACCUUUGAAUUUUUCUCAAGGUUGACCUCGGAUCAGGUAGGGAUACCCGCUGAACUUAAGCAUAUCAAUAAGCGGAGGA
rnacentral:rRNA from 1 species